rnacentral:rRNA from 1 species
GACGAACGCUGGCGGCGUGCCUAAUACAUGCAAGUUGAGCGCUGAAGGUUGGUACUUGUACCAACUGGAUGAGCAGCGAACGGGUGAGUAACGCGUGGGGAAUCUGCCCUUGAGCGGGGGACAACAUUUGGAAACGAAUGCUAAUACCGCAUAAAAACUUUAAACACAAGUUUUAAGUUUGAAAGAUGCAAUUGCAUCACUCAAAGAUGAUCCCGCGUUGUAUUAGCUAGUUGGUGAGGUAAAGGCUCACCAAGGCGAUGAUACAUAGCCGACCUGAGAGGGUGAUCGGCCACAUUGGGACUGAGACACGGCCCAAACUCCUACGGGAGGCAGCAGUAGGGAAUCUUCGGCAAUGGACGAAAGUCUGACCGAGCAACGCCGCGUGAGUGAAGAAGGGUUUCGGAUCGUAAAACUCUGUUGGUAGAGAAGAACGUUGGUGAGAGUGGAAAGCUCAUCAAGUGACGGUAACUACACAGAAAGGGACGGCUAACUACGUG